rnacentral:misc_RNA from 1 species
AUACUGUGGGAGGAGAUACUACAGGUAAGUGUUCCAAAUCUGAUUGCCAAAUUGUAACAAACCUUUUCAUUGAUGAUGUGAGAUAUGCUUACAUUGAUUACUAAGUGUAAAUCCUUGAAUUAGGAGUUGAAUAACAGCCCAUGUGAAUCCAAGAUUGCUAGAUGAAAAUUUCAGCUUUCUUAUGAUCUGAAACUUUCAGGGUGGAGUGUUGUAAGUAUUAUCCAUCGUCAAACUAAUCUUUUCUCUGCAUUCAAUCCCAGAUUCAACGUUACAUGAAACAA